GUCUGCAACCAUCUCAUUUGUCCUGUAAUCUUGUCAGUUCUUGCAAGCUAAGCAGGGUUGGGCUGAGUUAAUACUUGAAUGGGAAACCUCCAGGGAAUAACUUGGUGAUUCAACUU
rnacentral:rRNA from 1 species